GACGAACGCUGGCGGCGUGCUUAACACAUGCAAGUCGAACGGUGAAGCUCCAGCUUGCUGGAGUGGAUCAGUGGCGAACGGGUGAGUAACACGUGAGCAACCUGCCCCUGACUCUGGAAUAAGCGCUGGAAACGGCGUCUAAUACUGGAUACGAGAAGGGUCCGCAUGGGCACUUUCUGGAAAGUUUUUCGGUUGGGGAUGGGCUCGCGGCCUAUCAGCUUGUUGGUGAGGUAAUGGCUCACCAAGGCGACGACGGGUAGCCGGCCUGAGAGGGCGACCGGCCACACUGGGACUGAGACACGGCCCAGACGCCUACGGGAGGCAGCAGUGGGGAAUAUUGCACAAUGGGCGAAAGCCUGAUGCAGCGACGCCGCGUGAGGGAUGACGGCCUUCGGGUUGUAAACCUCUUUCAGCAGGGAAGAAGCGAAAGUGACGGUACCUGCAGAAGAAGCACCGGCUAACUACGU
rnacentral:rRNA from 1 species